ACAGCUAUAUCAAGCCACUUCACGCUGUGAAGAACAGCAGCAAGACAAGGAACAAUGCCAGUAAGCACUGAAUUUUUAGGGAAAUAUGGUCACCUUACACUGGAUGUACUCAAGCGUCUAGUGGAGCCUGCAGUGCUAUUUGAAUGGAAGGGGCAGUCUCCUAUGAUGGUAGAAGAAAUAGGAGAUUGUCACUCGUGACCACCAUAGAAGAUGGGGUAAUGGGAAAGUACAGGAGAAUCGCCUGCCAGUGGAAGAUACUGAAAGCAACAAGUUCCUACAGUGAACCAGAAGAGUCCCAGUGUCCUCACCCCACCCAGCUACUGAUCCACCAGAACCUUCACACCUAGUCAGCUCUGCAACAUUCAGCCAUGGGCUUGGACUGCCAGCCACACCCGUCCUCACUCCACAGUGCAGUUAUGAGACAGCGCUGUACCAUAGUGCAGCUCUCCCCGUCCACUGGGUCACCGAGGGAUGGACUAGCCUCCCACUGGAGGAGGCACAGCAACAGCUCCUCACCCCGCAACAUCUGGACUCUUAUGUGGGUACACAUCAAAAGAAAGGAAAAGCUGUGGUUCCCCUAGCCUGUCUAAAUAAAGGCUGGGUAAAAGU